GACGUAGGGCGCAAGCGUUGUCCGGAUUUAUUGGGCGUAAAGAGCUCGUAGGCGGUCUGUCGCGUCUGCUGUGAAAACUCGGGGCUUAACCCCGGGCCUGCAGUGGGUACGGGCAGACUAGAGUGCGGUAGGGGAGACUGGAAUUCCGUGGUGUAGCGGUGAAAUGCGUAGAUAUCAAGAGGAACACCUGCGGCGAAGGCGGGUUGCUGGGCCGACACUGACGCUGAUGCGCGAAAGCUAGGGGAGCGAACGGG
rnacentral:rRNA from 1 species